UGGGACUUGCCUGCUUUUAGCCUAGUAGAU
rnacentral:piRNA from 1 species